GAGAGGUGACGAUGAAAAUCUUGUCUACCAAUCCACUAAUUCUUGUGAUGUUAAAAGUGAAUCCCGACAGCAUCUGCUCGC